AAACAACUGUCCUGGAUGAGGUCCAGUUGGAUGUGCCAUUGGAUGAUGUGCCAGAUGUUCCACAGCUGCCAGUCCUCCUUGAUGUCCAGAAUGCUGCUAUCAUCCUUGAGGAUGUGCCAGAUGUGCAGACUAUCCUUGAGGUACAAUUUUCUGAAAGUUUGGGGUUUUAUGUUUGAAAAAUAUCCCAGAUAUUCAAGUUGUCUCUUUAACAUGAAACAAAUCUCUUGUCUGCUUUCUGCUUUAGGAGGCCACUGGCAAUUGGCAGUUGAUUCCGAUUAGGUUCAGCCCCCAGUACUGUGGGCCUGUUGUGAUCAGGAACAAUGCCGGUCCGGUGGUUAAAGCUUGGAGAACUUUCCAGUUCAUCAGCCCCAUCAUCACCUACAUGCGUGGGGGAUCCCAGCAGGUGGUGGUGAGGAUGCACCACGUGAGUAGGGUGAGAGGCCUGGAGACUCAACUGGUGUGGGCCAUCUCCAAGGAGACAGCCAGGCUUAGUCCAGAGGGCAUCCCCUACUGUGCCACCAAAGUGCAGUCCAUCACUUGGAUCCAGGUAAGACGUAAAUACUACUGAAACAGUAGUAGAUUAGGCUUUUCUUCACUUAUUCCAUUUGGCCUUAAUAUGUAUUCUCUCUUUGUCAGCGUGUGGCUGGCAGGGUGACCCACUAUGCGUCUCACCUCCGCCACGAGACGUCUGUGGACGUGACGCUUGGCUGCUACCAGGUAAAUAAACGAUUUCCUAUGUAUAUAGACUAGACAUUACUGGGCAUUUUUGCAUUCGAUUUGGUGUGUUUUCUAAUAACGUGUGUGUGUGUGGUAAACCGGUGUGCUGUGUGUGUUUUGAGCAGCAGACUGAUGUCUCAGUGGUGUACGCCACUCUCCACAUGGGGCUGGACGGGCUUCUAUCCUCUUCGGCGUGGUCGGAGGCUGCCUCCUUCUCUACUCCCACCAUUCAGCAGUUCACUGACCCAGAGCCUGAGGGCCACAACUGCUAUGAGGGCUGGGAGGAGGACCUGCUGCCUGAGGAGAGGGAGGUUCCUCUGCUAAACCUCUACCUUACCACCAAGAGAGUGGAGGACAUCGCCCUGAGGCUCGACUCCUUGCGCCAGGCCUUCACUGUGAGUAGACCCACUGUUCUUUUUGUCUCUGUGACUUCUUGUUCUGUCUCCAAGAGGAAGAUGUCUCACCCUAACUCUUCCCUCUUCCCUAGACCCUGCUUGGUUCCACCCUGA
rnacentral:lncRNA from 1 species